CCAGCUGAUGUGAUUGCGUGUGUGCCGUACCUACAACUUGGUGGCACUGUAGGAAAGAACGACUACACCUCCUGUUUUCAGUCUGUCAAAUGCUGAUGCUAAACUCAGUACACGGUGGUUGCGUCCUCCGCCUCCGGUUGUUUUUCGACUCGUGGUCAUGUCGUGGUGGGGGUGACCUCUGCUGCUGCUGUGGUGGCGGUGCUGUCCACAGGCCUACUCCAUGUCGCCUGGAUGCUGCUGCCCCUGCCUUCUGCAACACCGUGGGCACCCGUUAGGAGCACGGUAUUUCGACUUGUGCUCCGCCGGCUUCCUCAUCUCUCAAAGUUGUGCUGCUGGCUCUUGUGCCCUCUGAUGCUUUUCCACCUGAUGUGGUGAUGUGCCCUACGGUGGUGCUCUCCACCCGAGAUCCUGCGGGCGUCCAUGUCGCCUAGAUGAUGCUGCCCCUGCCUUCUUCAACCACCACCUCUCCUACAGUAUCGUGUCCCCCAUCAGGAUGUCUCUCUUUCUCACUCGUCCCUGCAGGUGGUACUGGAUGCUGUUGUAUUUUAUUUUAGCCUAAUGUUAUGCUUUUUUUUGGGUGGUUGAAGCAGGUUUAGUACAUUCCUGGAAUUAGACUGUACAAGUGUCAUCUUGGUAGGAGAGUGACACUGUAGUGGUCUUAUCGUUUAUGUCCAACCACUUAUAUUUCAUGACUUGAGCGAGGGCUAAUAGUUCCUGUUAGAGUUCUUCGUAUGCACAUGAUACUGUGAUAGUACUGUAGUCGUUGCUAGGCUCACGUGUUAAUUCUUUGUGUUAUAUAAGCUCCAGGGCCUGUAUUUCGCCAUGUUUGCCCUCUUUUAGGCUGCAUGCUUUGCUUUAGAGCAGUGAAAAAUUGAGGUGAUAUUGGAAUCCAUGUUUAGCUUGGCUGUGUAUUGAUGCACUGUUAUAACUUCUGAUGGCUUCUGGGAUAGAAUUGGGUGUUGUUUUCCCUGGGCUCGUUGUUUCUUCGUAUUGAUGCAUUUGCUGGUUUGUUCCAUCUCUGAUUCUCUUUUGCACGUUUGAAGAACAGAUGGUACAAACAUUAACAUACAUGCAUUUUGUGUGCCGUUUUGCUCGGAAGGUUGUUCCAGUCUGUGCUCUGCGCUAUUGGCUCUCUACGUGUUUCUCUUGGAUGCUUUGCCAUUCUCUUCCGGCCAUGAACAUCGUCAUAUUUCACUAAUCCUGCUCGAUAUUGUACGGCAAUUAUCAGUGUUUGCUUUGCUGACCAUGCUUUCUUCUUGUUUGAGGAUAACGAGGACUAAACGACAGCAGUGGCAUUCUUUCACUCCCUGUGGUUAGUUACCAUGUCUGCUCGGGGCUGAAGCGCUUGAAAACGAAAACAGGAGGGAGUUGGGAGGCAUGGCAAGGGGAAAAAAACCACCUGAGGCUAUAUUUAGGCUUGUAGUAGCUUGCUAGCUAAUUGUGUUCCAGCUUGUGAUUCCAUGCAUAUAUCUAAUGUAAUAAUGUCUCUCAACCUUAUAGGCUUAGCACUUCUAUUGUGAUCUGAAAUCACACAUGUUUCGGUCGGCUGUAUGCACAGCUACUGUAUACUUGUUUGGUCUGUGAUCUGAAUGUCCCAUAAAGGGCAAAUGUGAUGGCCAAAAUAUGAACACUUUCGCUAAUUAAACAUCAUUUGUUUUA